GGGUCUUUUGGAAACAACCUAAGGUCUGCGUACACACUACCCUCCCCAGAUCCUACUAGUGGGAUUAUACUGGGUUGCUGUUGUUGUUGUUGUUGUUUGUAAUUAUGACCUAAUUCGAGCUGAUGUAUGGGUUAUGAAGGAGUAUGGGGUUAAAGAGUCUUGGAUAAAACUGUAUACCUUCAAAUACUCUAAUGGCCCAGAGAGCCAGGUGCUUUUUCCACCCAUUUGCAUGUCAAGUAAAGGUGAAAUAUUGCAUGUGUUUGAAUACUCUUUAGCGAUAUACAAUCCAAAGGAUUACUUAAUCACAUAUCCAAAGGUUACUAAUGUUGAUGACAAUCUUGAGACGGAAGCGGAACUCUACAUUGAAAGCCUGGUUUCUCCUAUUUUACAAAAUAAAUCAACAGCACAAACAUUGCAGGGUGCAAAAACCCAGGUGAAUGACAGUUGUGUAGUUUAAAGAGUGAUUCUUGGAGAACACUUGAUAACUUUCAAGGAGGGUUGUUAUUCGAUCCUUCAGCUAAGUUGGUGGAUGAGAAAUUUCACUGGGCAACUAUGGAUGGUGAUGGUUGGGGCAUUAUGUCUAUUGAUUUGGCUGAUGACAAGUAUUGGAAGAUGGAGCAACCCCUCUACGGAGAAGGAGAGUUUCAUUUGAAGCUUGGAGUGUUGGGAAGUGAUUUAUCUGUGCUCUGUAAUUAUGAGCUAACUCAGAGCUGAUGUGUGGGUUCUGAAGGAGUAUGAGGUUAAAGAAUCUCAGACAAAAUUGUAUACCAUCAACUAUCUUAAUGACCCUAAGUACUGCGUGCUUUCUCCACCCAUUUGCAUGUUAAAGAAAUCUGAAAUUUUGCAUGUGUUUGAAUCAACUUUAAUGAUAUACAAUCCAGAGGAUGACUCAAUCAGACAUCCAGUGGUUACUAACGUUGAUAGGCUUGAGGCGAAACUUUACAUUGAAAGCCGGGUUUGUCCAAUUCUACAAAAUGAACCAACGACACAACAUUGAAAGGCUGAACAACUCAGGUAACUAACUGACUGUUGUGUAGCUAACAAUUUGUAAGUGUCCGUACAUUUUUCACGUGUUGUUCAAUUCUGCUUCUUUUGUCAAAUAUGGAAAAAUGCAUUGCAUAUUCAAAGGACUAUCUUUACACCACAUCUGCUUAGAGAUUUUUGUUGUCCUAUUAUUUUUGCAUAUUUUUGAGGAACAACUUUUUACAAGAACAUUUCCCAUUGUAGUGUUUGGUGGCUUCUGCAUUCUGUAAAAGACAUUGGACAUUCUUUCAGUUUUUCAGCAGUGUUUGAAGGUUACAUGUCAUGAAUUUGUGGCUUUAGAUCCUAUGCUUCUUGUAUUACUGCAGGUGAAUUUUGAAGUUUUAUAGGGGUUGGGUCCAGAAAUGUGCGUAUGGUCUUGGCACGCGUUCAUCUUAUUUCUACAAGCAUGUUGGUGUAUCCUCUUAAUCUAUGCACUCCUGAGUUGUUUUUUCAUUUACUUUGACAUACUUUGCUUCCUUUUAUUCAACUGUUAUGAAACCUUGAUCACCUCUAGAUGUAGGAAGCAAUGAUAUCCUUUCAUCCCGUCAAUAAAAUCUUCUUCUAUGGGUCAGGAUAUCCUUGCAUGAACUUUCACAUCCUCAGAUUUAUUUUCUUUGUAAUGUAAUAAAAGGCACACGACUCGUGAGCAAACUAGAGAAUUUACAUGAAGAUUUCUCUUGGUUAUGUCUCUGUAAAAAUUGAAACUAUGGCAAACUGGUUGAUGUGUGCUCAUUUGCAUACUAACCUUUAGGGGUGUUAAAAAACUGGUGCUUAGCUCUUACAUUGCCUUAUUAAUAAGAACGACAACUUAUACUUUCAUAUUGUGAAUGAUUGCAGGUUGAUGUGUUGUAUCAUGCACGUGUGCAGGGAAGCAAACUAACAAGCUGAUGCUUUGGCAAACAACUCCACUACUACUACUACCACCACUAUAACUACUUCUACUUGUAUUAGAUGCAGUUGAUCUAUCUACUGCUAUUACCAUUGUUAUGAAUAAAUGUCCGUACUUGCUGUAAUUGUGACCAGGAGGGGCUAGUAUAUUAUAAUACCCCUCAAAUUUUGUUGUUGAUCAGGUCACUAAGGACACUCUUCGGUCUUAAGAGUCACGGGUUGUAAAAAACUAUGAUGCUACUUGAUGUAAUACUUUUUGUUUAAGCAAAGUCGAGAAAAGAAAGGAAGAAAAGCUCAUAAAUUGAAGAACAGAAGAUUAAUCUUU